UACGAAGGGGGCUAGCGUUGCUCGGAAUUACUGGGCGUAAAGCGCACGUAGGCGGUCUUUUAAGUCGGGGGUGAAAUCCUGGAGCUCAACUCCAGAACUGCCUUCGAUACUGGAAGACUUGAGUCCGGGAGAGGUGAGUGGAACUGCGAGUGUAGAGGUGAAAUUCGUAGAUAUUCGCAAGAACACCAGUGGCGAAGGCGGCUCACUGGCCCGGUACUGACGCUGAGGUGCGAAAGUGUGGGGAGCAAACAGG
rnacentral:rRNA from 1 species